GAGAGAGUGGGUAAUGCCUCAGGCUCUCCUUGUUUAAACACUAUCGAGGGGAGAGCUUGCAGAUACAACUGACUGGUGCACAGGUCUGCUGGGCAGCUGCAUAUUGAAGAAGACAAAGAGAAUGUAGUUAGCAGGAAAAACCAAAAGCUGGAUGGCAAAGGAAGAAGGAGAAACCCCUCUGGGAUCUUAGAAUCAAUCCAUAAUUCUUGGAGUCAAUGCGUGUGUCUGCUAUCAUCAAAUAGCUUUGAGAUAAUUGAAAAGGACUUAAAGGAAGCUCUUUCUGCUUGGACAAAGAGGGAAGGACAUUGAGUAGAUGAAGAUCCCAAAAGGGCAUGUGGAUUUUCUUUUUAUAAGAGCAAUGUGAGGAAAAAGCUUUGAAAGUAUCCUGAGAACACAUACCUGAAUGUGCAGAAAGUAAAGGUAUGGCAAGAUUGAUAUGGAAGAAAGAUACUAGCUCUUUUUCUCAAGUUUGGUUAAAGAUGAUAAAACCUUGAAAUGACAUAAUUUGAGAGAAGGACAGAUAGAGACUAUUGCUAGAAGAACAAGUAAUGAUGCUGAGCUUGAUUCGUUAGUCAUCAGCAUGGAGAUGUAACUGAGGAUGUGUCAGCUGAUGAAAUUGCUUGGAGAGAGAGCAUAACGUAAGAUGAGCAAAAGGCUAUAGAUACUGCCCUGGGGAAUAACGAGAGUGAGGAAAGCAAAAAUACUUAUCAAAAGAUCAACUAAAAGAACAGUCUUGAAAA
rnacentral:lncRNA from 1 species